rnacentral:lncRNA from 1 species
CGCAUAUGUAAAUAAGAUUUAAAGCUAUUUUUAUAUUAUAAUCGAUAAUUUCAAUCAAAAGAACCUUUUAAUAUUUAAAGAACCAUUCACCAUAAAGCCUUUGUUUGCUAUAAAAUUUUAAGCUUUACUGAGAUAAAAGCUCUAGUAGUGAGUAGGAUUAAAUGUAGAUGGCCCGCGAAAAUUGUAUUAGGUAAAUCUCGUCUAAACAACUUAUACUAGUAUGCGUGAAAAGUAAAAAAGCAUGAGAUAACAUUUUUAGGGCUGUUAAAAGAUUUACAAUCGUCCAUCUUUCACUUUCAUCUAAACUCGGCUCUGAAGCAGAAGUUAGUUCCCGUGUUCUAGUGAUUUUUUCUUUUCCAAUUAAGUUACGUUGUUACGAUCCAGAUUUAUCCACGAGGAGCGAAAACUCUGCUUCGUGCGUGUUCGCCCCACUUAUAAAAAGCGUCCGAUAGACGCUUUUUCGUAGGAGCUAGAAGCUCUGAUUCAGAAAUCCCCCAUUGUUCUGCACGCUGUGCACCGUUGGUCCGUGCCGGUCCGCCAUUACGGUAGUUAAACGGGAGUAGAGGUUUUUCCGACCUGCUGAGAUUCCGAAAGGAGGAGACAGUAGAGUUUCGGACCACGAGCCGACGCCCUAUCCCGCAACUUUAGUUCGACCCUCGACGCACGUAGACCCGGCCUAGCUACGCUACUGCUGAGCCAACCCGAGCACCCCUCAUCUGGUGACUCCGCCGGCCGUCGAACAUCGCAUGCAUCCGGCGUAUCCCUCGGCGACAAGUAACGUAACGCCUCGAGCUCCAGUAGCAUAAACCCUGCGCAGGUAUGUCGACAUACAUGGCCAUAUUACACACCACAACACACACUGUACAUAUCACCCACCCGCAUGAAUCUUUCCGUAAAUAGAAAAUGAAUACAUAGAUGAAUUCAAGUUAAGUUUA